UACGUAGGGUGCAAGCGUUGUUCGGAAUUACUGGACGUAAAGCGCACGUAGGCGGACCAUCAAGUUGGGGGUGAAAUCCCGGGGCUCAACCCCGGAACUGCCUCCAAAACUGCUGGUCUGGAGGUCGAGAGAGGUGAGUGGAAUUCCGAGUGUAGAGGUGAAAUUCGUAGAUAUUCGGAAGAACACCAGUGGCGAAGGCGGCUCACUGGCCCGGUACUGACGCUGAGGUGCGAAAGCGUGGGGAGCAAACAGG
rnacentral:rRNA from 1 species